UAGCCAAUGACAAGUCCUAAAAGAUCCACGUGAUCAUGCCCGUGAUCGGAAACAAAGAAGACUCCAUUUGGCGCUCAUCUUUGAAUGUACUUUUCAUCGGUUGAUCGCUUUUCUCAACUGUUUUGCUUAAUAUAACAUUUCUAAAGAUAGCUUUUAUUGUGGUUCAAUGGGAAAACGAGAAUAGCGUGAGUGUUGUAAAAGAAAAGAAAGUCGUUGGCGCCGUGGAGUUAAAAGAAGGGACAACAGUUGACAUAUUGACUGGUACAAACAAGGGUCGAGUGGCCAUCUGUAAAGCUACGAUUUUGAAAGUUUGUGAUGUCAAGGAAUCCAGAUACAAAAUGGUCAAGGUUCGUGUUGACAACCUCAUUCAAGGCCAACUCAUUGUGAGCCCAGGAAAAAAAAUACAAACAGUACAAACAGCAGCUAAGUUUGCAGUUUAGGAUAACUUCAUUCUAAUUUAUUGUUACAGUUACAACAAGAUUUUAAUCAAAAAAUCAAUUUUAUUUGUCUGUAAUUAGCCCCUUCACUCCCAAGAGUGCUUGGUUUUCAAAUAUAACUUAAGAUAUUGUAUUUUAUGGAAAAGAAUCAACAGAUUUUAUUCACAAUUUGUGUCAAACCAAAUUUAAUGAUUGAUUAGAACUAUUUUAUAUGAAUAGCUGUAAUUGAGGAUUAAUCCGUAUGAAGUUUUCAAGAAAAGAAAAAUAAAUCAAAUUCCAUCCUAAUAUUACCACACAUUGAUGUUAAUAAUUAAUCAAAAAUAUUUUACAUGUAAGCCUUAAAUUAAGCUUCUAAAUAAAUUUCAUUGAAUACUUGAA